rnacentral:rRNA from 1 species
UACGGAGGGUGCAAGCGUUAUCCGGAUUCACUGGGUUUAAAGGGUGCGUAGGCGGGCAUGUAAGUCAGUGGUGAAAUCUCAGAGCUUAACUCUGAAACUGCCAUUGAUACUAUGUGUCUUGAAUUUUCCUGGAGGUUAGCGGAAUAUGUCAUGUAGCGGUGAAAAUGCUUAGAUAUGACAUAGAAACACCGAUUGCGAAGGCAGCUGACUACGGGUAGAUUGACGCUGAGGCACGAAAGCGUGGGGGAUCAAAACAGGA